GCUCUGUGAUGAUCCCCCAUGCGUGUCAUCUGAGCUCAGCUUCCCCUGAUCUCUCAGUUCCAAGUGGGUGUUUUGCCCUCUGGUCUCUGGGCUGGCAGUGGCUUCUGGGCACAUGAUCAUAAUUUAACCCUGAGAGC
rnacentral:snoRNA from 15 species